GCCAUGUUCUCUGAACACUGGUUGGAGUUGCUGUGGAGAGGCGGAUGAGGUGGCUGGAGCUAGCCCACUCACAUGCCACCUUCCAGACUUGUUACAGAAGAUGACUAUCGGAUGCCUUGAAACAGAGUACCACUCUGCAGUAAGGACAUGUGACACGAUGUCCUUCCUACACUCAAGAGUCAUGACUGCUGGAUAGCCCCCUGGACGGAGGGAGCAGGACAGAAGGCGCCUUAGGGAUGAGAUCUCAUGAUGGACGCACAGGACACGGGAAACUGCAUGAACACCAUGUCUGCUUAGGAUUUGGAGAAAAACAGAGCUUUGCAGCCAUGAGUUGGAGCAUUUUCCCAUCUCCAUCUUUCAUUUGAUAGAGGGAAUGUGGAGGGCGCAUCCUAGGACUAAGCACACAUGGGUCAAGAAACAACCUCAGAGCUGCUCCGGUGGGAAACAGAUGUAGAAGAGGUUUCGGCUUCUGCCGAAGCUGCUCUUUCAGUACAGACUCCCAGCGGGUUGGCUGAAAUCCCUGGCCAGGGUGGAGCACUUCCCACAGUAAGUCU